GUGGCGGACGGGUGAGUAACGCGUAGGAAUCUGCCUUAUAGUGGGGGACAACGUGGGGAAACCCACGCUAAUACCGCAUACGCCCUACGGGGGAAAGCAGGGGAUCUUCGGACCUUGCGCUAUUGGAUGAGCCUGCGUUGGAUUAGCUUGUUGGUGGGGUAAAGGCCUACCAAGGCGACGAUCCAUAGCUGGUCUGAGAGGAUGUUCAGCCACACUGGAACUGAGACACGGUCCAGACUCC
rnacentral:rRNA from 1 species